CAGUCGCCGCGGUAAUACGAGGGGGGCAAGCGUUGUUCGGAUUUAUUGGGCGUAAAGGGUGCGUAGGCGGUUUGAUAAGUCUGAUGUGAAAUCUAUGGGCUCAACCCAUAGUCUGCAUUAGAAACUGUCGGGCUUGAGUAUGGGAGAGGUGAGUGGAAUUUCCGGUGUAGCGGUGAAAUGCGUAGAUAUCGGAAGGAACACCUGUAGCGAAAGCGGCUCACUGGACCAUAACUGACGCUGAUGCACGAAAGCUAGGGGAGCAAACAGGAUUAGAUACCCCGGUAGUCCCUGUCUCUUAUAA
rnacentral:rRNA from 1 species